rnacentral:rRNA from 1 species
CGGAAGCGUUGUUCGGUAAUUACUGGGCGUAAAGGGCUCGUAGGUGGCCAACUAAGUCGGACGUGAAAUCCCUCGGCUUAACCGGGAAACUGCAUCGGAAACUGGUCGGCUUGAAGGUGGGAGAGGGUAGCGGAAUUCCCGGUGUAGUGGUGAAAUGCGUAGAUAUCGAGAGGAACACCUGCGGCGAAGGCGGGUUGCUGGGCUGACACUGACGCUGGACAGCGCGAAAAGCUAGGGGAGCGAACGGG